CCUAAGAGAUGGGGAAUCCUUGUAUCAAGGGUGCACUCUGCAUGAACAUCGAAAGAGAAUUGGGUUAAUAUUCCUGAACUGGGACAUGGUGGUGGACGACAAUGUUAGAAAAUCUGGAGAUGUCAUCGGGGGCCUGGGAAGAGUUAUCUUCUCUUUUUAACGACUUCCCCACCCUGAAAUCAGUUCAACCGGAGAUAGGGUCCAACAUCUGGAAGAGCACCACAAGUCUUGCGGUGUUUUGUGCCCCCUCGACGGCCAUUGAAAAUAUGGAGAACCGAGUACCAUCCAUACUCGAUCGUACUCAUAUCUGCCUCC
rnacentral:ncRNA from 1 species